GCUGGGCGUGGUGGCUCACGCCUGUAAUCCCAGCACUUUGGGAGGCUGAGACUGGUGGAUCACUUGAGGUCAGGAGUUGGAGACCAGCCUGGCCAACAUGGUGAAACCCCGUCUCUA
rnacentral:SRP_RNA from 1 species